rnacentral:rRNA from 1 species
CCUACGGGAGGCAGCAGUGGGGAAUCUUGCGCAAUGGGAGAAAUCCUGACGCAGCGACGCCGCGUGCGGGAGGACGCUCUUCGGGGUGUAAACCGCUGUCAGGAGGGAAGAAGUCCCGGGGGAGGCAAUGCCCUCGGGUUGACGGUACCUCCAGAGGAAGCACCGGCUAACUCCGUGCCAGCAGCCGCGGUAAUACGGAGGGUGCGAGCGUUGUUCGGAAUUAUUGGGCGUAAAGCGCGCGUAGGCGGCUUCUUAAGUCUCGCUGUGAAAGCCCGGGGCUCAACCCCGCGGACUGCAGGGGAUACUGGGGAGCUGGAGACAGGUAGAGGCCAACGGAAUUCCGGGUGUAGCGGUGGAAUGCGUAGAGAUCCGGAAGAACACCAGAGGCGAAGGCGGUUGGCUGGACCUGGUCUGACGCUGAGGCGCGAAAGCGUGGGGAG